rnacentral:rRNA from 1 species
UUCCGUAGGUGAACCUGCGGAGGGAUCAUUACCGAGUUUACAACUCCCAAACCCCUGUGAACAUACCACUUGUUGCCUCGGCGGAUCAGCCCGCUCCCGGUAAAACGGGACGGCCCGCCAGAGGACCCCUAAACUCUGUUUCUAUAUGUAACUUCUGAGUAAAACCAUAAAUAAAUCAAAACUUUCAACAACGGAUCUCUUGGUUCUGGCAUCGAUGAAGAACGCAGCAAAAUGCGAUAAGUAAUGUGAAUUGCAGAAUUCAGUGAAUCAUCGAAUCUUUGAACGCACAUUGCGCCCGCCAGUAUUCUGGCGGGCAUGCCUGUUCGAGCGUCAUUUCAACCCUCAAGCACAGCUUGGUGUUGGGACUCGCGUUAAUUCGCGUUCCUCAAAUUGAUUGGCGGUCACGUCGAGCUUCCAUAGCGUAGUAGUAAAACCCUCGUUACUGGUAAUCGUCGCGGCCACGCCGUUAAACCCCAACUUCUGAAUGUUGACCUCGGAUCAGGUAGGAAUACCCGCUGAACUUAAGCAUAUCAAUAAGCGGAGGA